rnacentral:rRNA from 1 species
UCUUGAAGAACUGUAAUGUCGUUAAUUUGGUGUUGCAGGGAAACAGGACUGUUACUUUGAAAAAAUUAGAGUGUUUAAAGCAGGCUAACGCUUGAAUACAUUAGCAUGGAAUAAUGAAAUAGGACGUUCGAUCCUAUUUUGUUGGUUUCUAGGAUUGACGUAAUGAUUAAUAGGGAUAGUUGGGGGCAUUAGUAUUCAAUUGUCAGAGGUGAAAUUCUUGGAUUUAUUGAAGACUAACUACUGCGAAAGCAUUUGCCAAGGAUGUUUUCAUUAAUCAAGAACGAAUGUUAGGGGAUCGAAGACGAUCAGAUACCGUCGUAGUCUUAACCAUAAACUAUGCCGACUAGGGAUCGGAUGAUGUUAAUUUUUUAAUGACUCAUUCGGCGCCUUACG